rnacentral:rRNA from 1 species
AAUAGAUACCCAGGUAGUCCACGCCGUAAACGAUGGAUACUAGCUGUUCGUCCGCCUCGGCGGAUGAGUGGCUAAGCGAAAGUGAUAAGUAUCCCACCUGGGGAGUACGAACGCAAGUUUGAAACUCAAAGGAAUUGACGGGGGCCCGCACAAGCGGUGGAGCAUGUGGUUUAAUUCGAUGAUACGCGAGGAACCUUACCAAGGCUUAAAUGUAGAUUGACAGGACUGGAAACAGUUUUUUCUUCGGACAAUUUACAAGGUGCUGCAUGGUUGUCGUCAGCUCGUGCCGUGAGGUGUCAGGUUAAGUCCUAUAACGAGCGCAACCCCUGUUGUUAGUUGCCAGCGAGUCAAGUCGGGAACUCUAACAAGACUGCCAGUGUAAACUGUGAGGAAGGUGGGGAUGACGUCAAAUCAUCACGGGCCCUUACGCCUUGGGCUACACACGUGCUACAAUGGCCGGUACAGAGAGCAGCCACUGCGCGAGCAGGAGCGAAUCUAUAAAACCGGUCACAGUUCGGAUCGGAGUCUGCAACUCG